rnacentral:rRNA from 1 species
GUAGGGAAUCUUCCACAAUGGACGAAAGUCUGAUGGAGCAACGCCGCGUGAGUGAAGAAGGUUCUCGGAUCGUAAAACUCUGUUGUGAGGGAAGAACAAGUACCGGAGUAACUGCCGGUACCUUGACGGUACCUCAUUAGAAAGCCACGGCUAACUACGUGCCAGCAGCCGCGGUAAUACGUAGGUGGCAAGCGUUGUCCGGAAUCAUUGGGCGUAAAGCGCGCGCAGGCGGUCCCUUAAGUCUGAUGUGAAAGCCCACGGCUCAACCGUGGAGGGUCAUUGGAAACUGGGGGACUUGAGUGCAGAAGAGGAAAGCGGAAUUCCAAGUGUAGCGGUGAAAUGCAUAGAGAUUUGGAGGAACACCAGUGGCGAAGGCGGCUCACUGGCCCAAUACUGACGCUGAGGCGCGAAAGCGUGGGGAGCAAACAGGAUUAGAUACCCUGGUAGUCC